rnacentral:rRNA from 1 species
CACGUAGUUAGCCGGUGCUUAUUCUUCAGGUACCGUCAUUAGCCGAGGAUAUUAGCCUCAGCCGUUUCUUCCCUGACAAAAGAGCUUUACAACCCGAAGGCCUUCUUCACUCACGCGGCAUUGCUGGAUCAGGGUUGCCCCCAUUGUCCAAAAUUCCCCA